AAGCUGCUAUCUAAAGCACUUAUCUCAUUCUUAUCACUGAAAUAUUAUAUCCCUUAUCUAAAUUACCCGUAUCACUUGAAAUUGUAUCACCAUGAAAUUAUUAGCGCUGUGCAGAAGUUUUCAUUAUCCGUAUAUAAAUCGCGACGUGAUUUUAACAUAAUGUGUUUUGUUUUAUUAUAUCCAUUGCUAUAUUAAUGCGUUGAAGAAAAUUUCUUAAUAAAUUAUGGAAACCUUUGUAUAUCCUUGAUUAUAAAUGAAAGAAAGAAAAAUUUGUUAGAAUUUCAAAGAAAAGAAUUACAAUAUUAUUUUUAAUGAAUAUUUGAUGAAAUUACGAAUCAGCAUAUCGGUGUUAUAUACAGUACACGAUAUGUAAUUUGGUUGACGUAAAUGAAGAUUUAUUAGAAGCACGUAAAAGCAUCGUAUACAAUGAGCAAGGUGUGGCAGAAAGUGUAAAAUCAAGCGCAACAAGCAAAAUGAAAGGACCACGAAACUUCAGACUACGAAAGAACAAAUUUACCAGAAGAAAACAAUUUUUUAUUUGAACGGAGCUGUGGAUAGAAACGUGGAAGCAAAUAAGCCUGUAGCGCUUUCGCGAUUAUACUGGAAGCUAUGCAACGUCGAGCACAAUUCCGAUUGAGCGUAGAGGAUCGAAAGCACUCAAAGCAGGAAAUAUAGACACCAAACGUUAAGCUCUUUACGGAGAAGAACAUCAAAUGAACACAUAAAAAAAAAUAAAAUAAAAUAAAAACAAGUAUUUUGAAGAGUUAUUUUACUACGACUACCUUGACAAUUUUUGUUUAUCAUUAAAAUAAGGAAAAAUAAAAUAACGUAUCCUUUGAUAUUUCAUAACUU